GGUACACGUGAGUCAGAAGCCCAUCCUGUUUUAAGGGGAGAGGAAUUACACUCCAUCUCUCAAUGAGUGAAUGUCUUAUUUUUCAGGGCAGAGAUCCGACUCUUUCUCUUUACACAUGAGUAUCUCCGGACUAGAGCAAGAACAUUACGGAGGAGCCACUGGUUAUGUAGACCAGGCUUCUCAAACUACUGCGCACACAAGUCGCCUAGGGACCGAAUUAACGUGCAGCCCUGAUGCAGCCGCCUGAGACCCGCCUUUGCAGCAGCCUGCCAGGAGGUGCUGACGCUGCCGGCGCCUGGACCGCGCGUUGAACAGUGCAGUAAAGCCAAGGAUAUGGGAGGGAAAAAACGGGGAAAGAGUCAUGGAAAGCCAGCUUCUUGCUGAAACUCCACCAGGUGCCCUGCUGGAAUCUCCCUUGAAAGAGCCUCUAUCCUGAAGAGUGUUGGACCCUGGAGCUGCUGGCCACAUCUUGAUCUGCCAUAUGUGGUCCAAGAAUGAAGUAAACACGAAGGAGAAUGAAGGUGCUGAGGGAUAAAGAUAUUGUUUGACAUUCUAGGAGCUCCUGGAUCAAG